CCUACGGGAGGCUGCAGUGGGGAAUAUUGGACAAUGGGGGCAACCCUGAUCCAGCCAUGCCGCGUGUGUGAAGAAGGCCCUCGGGUUGUAAAGCACUUUCAGUGAGGAAGAACGCCUGGUGGUUAAUACCCAUCAGGAAAGACAUCACUCACAGAAGAAGCACCGGCUAACUCCGUGCCAGCAGCCGCGGUAAUACGGAGGGUGCGAGCGUUAAGCGGAAUUACUGGGCGUAAAGCGCGCGUAGGUGGCUUGAUAAGCCGGUUGUGAAAGCCCCGGGCUCAACCUGGGAACGGCAUCCGGAACUGUCAAGCUAGAGUGCAGGAGAGGAAGGUAGAAUUCCCGGUGUAGCGGUGAAAUGCGUAGAGAUCGGGAGGAAUACCAGUGGCGAAGGCGGCCUUCUGGACUGACACUGACACUGAGGUGCGAAAGCGUGGGUAGCAAACAGGAUUAGAUACCCCAGUAGUC
rnacentral:rRNA from 1 species